GCAAGGAAGGUAGCUCAGUUGGUUAGAGCAUGGUACUAAUGAUGCCAAGGCUAUGCAGGUUCAAUCCCUGUAUGGGGCCGCUGCA